UCCUUAUUUUUUAAUCUCUAACACCUAUCAGUCAGUUAAAGACUUUCGGAAGUCACUGACCUUAAUAAUAUAUAUAUAUUUUUAAAUUUAUCACAAGAGUGUCCAAGCGCAUCAAUGAAUGACAGGUGUGGGUGCUGCCUUUUGUUUUAGGCCAGCACUACAACACCUGUGUCAACUAAUGAACUAAUCAAGGUCUCCAAUCAAAACCUUGAUUACUUGCAUUGGGUGUUUAAUUAUGAGGCUACAAAAAACGAAAAGAAAAAAAAACCUGGCUCACAUACUGGCCCCUUUUCAGAUAACAUUGAAAACUGGUAUAGAGACAUGCAUUCCAGCAUGAAUGUAUGCCAGGGGAUUCCAACCCCGUUCCUGUAGAUCUACAGUCUGUAGGUUUUCAUUUCAACCCUAAGUUGGCACACCUGAUUCUACUAAUUAGCAGCUUAGAGAGAUCACUGUUGAAUGAGGUGUGCUGUGUUUGGUGUUUGAUGGAGUGAAAACCUACAGGACGGUAGAUCUCCAGGAACAGGGUGAGGACACACUGUCGUACACCUUCGACCAAAUUCAUGUUUAGCUAAAACAUACAUUGCCUGUAGCACUUCAUUUUUUGAGCUCUGAAGCUGAAAUUACUUUGCUUUCAGACAAUUUUUCCACUGGAUUAGAAAUAGUAUUCUCAAGACAGAGAACAAUAACAAAAUAGAUUCAAAGGAAUGUCUAUCAUUAUCCUGCUUUCCAAGUAUGUUGGGCACUGGGACUAAAGCCAAUUAUGUUUUUCAGGUGCUUAUCAACAAGUUUCUAUUGACUGGUAACACAGUAACUUCACAGCAUUCUUCAAAAACCGCAGUCCCAGGCAGUAAAUGCACUUAACACAGAGAUUCCUAAAUAACUUUAUGCUGCAUAUAAAGCAGGACCUUUUUGACUCCUUGAUUACUGUGACUGCACCCUCCACCCACUCAAAAUUGAAUGCAAAGCAUAACCAGUAAAUUAAUUAUUCAUCUAUGGAUAUAAAUCUAUGCCAAGUACAGGAGGGCCUUCAGGCAGUAAAAACCAAUACGGAUCUUCCCAUGCCACCUGACAGCUUGCAAGCCAAAGACACGGGCAGUGAUGGAGCCAACCUUCUGACAUCAUCAACAGACUCCAAAGAAAAUGGCUGCAACCCAGUUACAUUUUUGGCAAUUUAACACAUUUUACUUUGAACUUUUUUAACAGCUGCAAUAUUUUUAUGCAUUGCUUUUUUUAGAUCACCAUAACUCCCUAAAAUAUUGCAGUUCUACUUUAACAUGUGCUAAUCAAGAAUAACAAUUCUGACAUCUACUUCUAUGACUGGUAUUUAGGGUGCAUGUUGAACAGUUAUAAAAACAUGCCAGGAGAGAGAAAACUUCUCAAACCCCUUGUAGUUAUCAAACAGAAGUGAAGUUGGCAACGGUGGCCAAAAAGUAUCGAAAUCUGAUUUUAUUCUGGCACAAGAUAUUGUUGAUUUUGCUUUUUUGAAUAUUGUGUAUUAUAACAACUUAAGAAUUGAAUCUGCGCUGAAGGAAAAGCAGAAUGUUUGAUAAAAGGGGCAGGCUCUGACGUGCAUUACAAUUAAUGCCGAAAAGCAGCAUCAUAAUAUUUGAAAUUACUAAACAUACUCUAAAAGGCCAUUUAAGUCUUUUAAAGUUCAGCAUUUUUGCAAAAUUUGUUUUGUAAUGUUUAAUAUAUUGCAAAAAACUUUCAAAAAAGAAAAAAAACAAA